CCUACGGGGGGCUGCAGUCGAGAAUCUUCGGCAAUGGGCGCAAGCCUGACCGAGCGACGCCGCGUGUGGGAUGAAGGCCUUCGGGUUGUAAACCACUGUCAGAGGGGAUGAAAUGCAGGUGGGUUCUCCCAUCUGUUUGACAUAGCCUCAGAGGAAGGACGGGCUAAGUUCGUGCCAGCAGCCGCGGUAAGACGAACCGUCCGAACGUUAUUCGGAAUCACUGGGCUUAAAGGGUGCGUAGGCGGCGCGGAAAGUUGGGUGUGAAAUCCCUCGGCUCAACCGAGGAACUGCGCCCAAAACUGCCGUGCUCGAGGGAGAUAGAGGUGAGCGGAACUUAGGGUGGAGCGGUGAAAUGCGUUGAUAUCCUAAGGAACACCGGUGGCGAAAGCGGCUCACUGGAUCUCUUCUGACGCUGAGGCACGAAAGCUAGGGUAGCAAAC
rnacentral:rRNA from 1 species